rnacentral:rRNA from 1 species
GACGAACGCUGGCGGCGUGCUUAACACAUGCAAGUCGAACGGAAAGGCCCUGCUUUUGUGGGGUGCUCGAGUGGCGAACGGGUGAGUAACACGUGAGUAACCUGCCCUUGACUUUGGGAUAACUUCAGGAAACUGGGGCUAAUACCGGAUAGGAGCUCCUGCUGCAUGGUGGUGGUUGGAAAGUUUCGGCGGUUGGGGAUGGACUCGCGGCUUAUCAGCUUGUUGGUGGGGUAGUGGCUUACCAAGGCUUUGACGGGUAGCCGGCCUGAGAGGGUGACCGGCCACAUUGGGACUGAGAUACGGCCCGGACUCCUACGGGAGGCAGCAGUGGGGGAUAGUGCACAAUGGGCGGAGGCCUGAUGCAGCAACGCCGCGUGCGGGAUGACGGCCUUCGGGUUGUAAACCGCUUUCGCCUGUGACGAAGCGUGAGUGACGGUAAUGGGUAAAGAAGCACCGGCUAACUACGUG